AUUGAACGCUGGCGGAAUGCUUUACACAUGCAAGUCGAGCGGCAGCGCGGGGGCAACCCUGGCGGCGAGCGGCGAACGGGUGAGUAACACAUCGGAACGUACCCAGUUGUGGGGGAUAGCCCGGCGAAAGCCGGAUUAAUACCGCAUACGACCUGAGGGUGAAAGGGGGGGAUCGCAAGACCUCUCGCAGUUGGAGCGGCCGAUGGCGGAUUAGCUAGUUGGUGAGGUAAAGGCUCACCAAGGCGACGAUCCGUAGCUGGUCUGAGAGGACAACCAGCCACACUGGAACUGAGACACGGUCCAGACUACUACGGGAGGCAGCAGUGGGGAAUUUUGGACAAUGGGGGCAACCCUGAUCCAGCCAUUCCGCGUGAGUGAAGAAGGCCUUCGGGUUGUAAAGCUCUUUCGGCAGGAACGAAACGGUGGAGGCUAAUACCUUUCAUCAAUGACGGUACCUGAAGAAGAAGCACCGGCUAACUACGUGCCAGCCGCCGCGGUAAUAC
rnacentral:rRNA from 1 species